UACGUAGGGACCAAGCGUUGUCCGGAAUCAUUGGGCGUAAAGAGCGCGUAGGCGGCCAGACAAGUCCGGUGUGAAAGUCACAGGCUCAACCUGUGAAUGCCGCUGGAAACUGUCUGGCUAGAGUCCGGAAGGGGCGAGUGGAAUUCCUGGUGUAGCGGCGAAAUGCGCAGAUAUCAGGAGGAACACCUAUGGCGAAGGCAGCUCGCUGGGACGGUACUGACGCUGAGGCGCGAAAGCGUGGGGAGCGAACAGG
rnacentral:rRNA from 1 species